CCUCUACUACCGAAUAAAACAAGUUUGACGGGACCAACUACACAUAAAAAAAUCAAGUCUAAAACAAGAAGAAGAAACAACUAAACCACGUCCCUGAAUGAAGAGGAUUCACUAAUUGCUAGAGCAAGAAUCUGCACUAUAAAGCCACGAGCCUGAGAAUGGUCAUCAGUAUCUACACAAUGAAAAGAUGUAGCAUAGAAGAGAUAUGGUAUUAGUACAGAGAUGGUACUGAGUAUGCAAGAGAAACGCUAAAUAAUUUAAAAUAAUAUCUAUAUCAUACUUUAAAAAAGAACUAAACAAGAUCUCAAGAGAAUAUAUAUAUAUAUAUAUAUCAAAAGGAAAGCAAAUUCAGUUAAACUCAUAAAUAAGGAUUUCUGAAGAUGCCUAUCUAAAUUCAUACUAUCUAAGACUAUAAAAAUGAUCAUAUCAAAUAGACUUUCAAAAUAAGCUGAGUCUUUAAGUGGAAAUUCUUACAAUCCACAUACAUCAUGUGAGCUAAUGAUGUCUAACGUCAUCUAAUCCAUUAUAAGUGUGGCACGCUGCUCACUUAUAAAGAGGGCUCUAUUGAAUGUGAUUUCUUAGACAUCGUAGUGCUCUUGAACCUAAUAUCCAGAUAUCAAGCUUGUCAUAUCCUGAGUCUACAUCCUAAACGUGAUUGACACUAGAAGCCACUAGUAGCCCAAGCACAAUAUAUGAAAGAUAAAGCAAAAGCCAUGAACCAAAAUUAUGAUAUAAGUACGAAACUUGUUGAACAAAAUAUUAAAAGUCUGAAGGAUAACAUAAAUUACAAUACUAAGGUCUGUCAUGCCUCUACUACUGAAUCAAAUAAGUCCGUCGAGACUAGCCCCUAGCUAACUAUAAGAAAGCAAAGUCUAAAACACGAAGAAGAAACAACUAAAUUGAGGACACGCCAACUAUUGAAAUAGAAAUAUGCACUAUCUAGCCACGAGUCUAAGAAUGAUUACCAAUAUCUACAUUAACGAAAAGAUGUAAGAUAGAAAAAGUAUGCAGUCACCAAGAUAUCUACACAGGUAUCAAAGAGCCCAUGCAACAAGAAAGAAAAAAAGAUACUCUUAUUCGCUUAUUAGAGGAGGACAAAGCCAGAGUCUACCAACCAUGAAAACAUUCUAUAAUUAUGAAGCUAGUGGGAAAAAAAGCUCCCACCAGUAUCUGAGAUCUGCCUGGGACUCUAAUCCUCAUAGAUCUUGGGCAUGACUUCCGCAUUGCAAAAUUCAACCAGCUCAAAAAUGUGAACAAGGUUCUCUACGAGGGAUCAUGGUUCAUCCUUGGAGGGAAAUAUGGGAUCUAAACUUUGCAACAAAAGAAUCUACCGUCACUCAUACUGCUUUUUAAAUUAGAUUACCUUAACUACAUACAGAAUUCUACAAUCGAAAAAUCCUAGAAAAGGUGGUAAGAAAAUUGGGUGCACUACUAAAAAUUGACUCUGCACAUCGUCCACUCAAAGAGGAUAAUAUGGUAGAAUCUGAAUACAAGUUCUCGUGGAUAUACCUGCUAAGAAAUCAAUCACUAUUAGAAAUCAUACUCCAAAGGAGGUUUGCGAAAGAGAUGGAAUCCUGCGUUCAGGUUGUGAGUGGAUUGACUAUACCUUUAAAUAAUGCAAAGCUAUCCAACGCCCAUCAUAAAUAGAAACAACAAACCCUUUUUCAAACCCUAAUACAGUAGAGAUCCUACCAGAAAAACAUGGAACGUGGUAAUCUUCCCAAAAAGAAAGCUACCACCAAAAUGGAAAAAACCUCAAUUGUAAGGCUCAAGCAUCAAUGCCU
rnacentral:lncRNA from 1 species